CAGUCCUGCCCUCAAUUUCUGCUCCUCCUGCCAAAACUGUGGUAGAGAGCUUGGGGCGGACAUAGAUAAAACACUCUUAUAUUAGGAGGGUUUCUUCAAGUGCUAAGCUGCCCUCAAAGGCACAAGAGAACAUC